CAGGUCUUAAGCGACACGUACAUCAGUGACGUAAAAUAUUAUGCUCAGUAGCUCAGGUUUUAAAAAGCGCAUCUUUUUUACAGAUCCGGUAUUAUUCGACAAGCAUUCAAUCGUCCUAGUCAGGUAUUUUGUGGCAUUCAUUUGUUGUAACAACUGUUAAAAGGCUGAGAUAUCUGUAUCAGUGUCUGAAAUGGAGCCUCCGGUCAGCAAAUUCUAUUUGGAUCUAGCUUUCUUAGACAAUCAAAAGCAAAGCACAUGCGAUUAUAUCAUAAAUGGGACGCUAAUUAUCUUGGUUUAUAUUACAACAAUUUUGAUGGCUGGUCGGAAUAUCAUAGCUUUAUUUUUGAUGACAUACCUUAGUGACGCUGCUUAAAAUACGAUCAUGAAUAACGUUUGUACAAAACAUGUUUGGCUGUAAAUUUGCCACCUGUUAUUUUUGAAAUUAAAUUUUGAUUUAUUCGUGCUGUGCAUUACGUACAUAUCUGUUUGUAUGAAUAUUAUAUGCGAUUGUUAGUUUUUUUAAUUCUGGGUAUGUGCUUCUAUCAUUGGAAACACAUGUCUUCAUUCUGUAUUUCCAGUUUCAAAAUUCACUUGAUGUAAAAAUUGUUAUUUAUAGUAAUAAAGAAGCAAUGAUGAAAAACAUUUGA